AAUCAACGCUGGCGGCGUGCCUCAGACAUGCAAGUCGAACGAUUAAAGCUCUCUUCGGAGAGUGUAUAGAGUGGCGCACGGGUGAGUAACACGUAAGUAAUCUACCUUUGAGUGGGGAAUAACCCGGGGAAACCCGAGCUAAUACCGCAUAAUGCAGCGGCAUCGCAAGAUGACAGUUGUUAAAGGAGCAAUCCGCUUAAAGAGGAGCUUGCGGCAGAUAGCUAGUUGGUAAGGUAAUGGCUUACCAAGGCUACGAUCUGUAUCGGUCUAAGAGGACGGUCGGACACACUGACACUGAAUAACGGGUCAGACUCCUACGGGAGGCAGCAGUCGGGAAUUUUGGGCAAUGGGCGAAAGCCUGACCCAGCAACGCCGCGUGAAGGAUGAAGUA
rnacentral:rRNA from 1 species